UUGGUGGAUAAAGAUGAGGGCCACACAAGUGACUCAAGGCGAUGAUGCAACUAUUGAAAAUAACUAGUAAACAAGGCAACAGAGGAGAGAAUGGGGGUAGUGGCAGCAGAUGGACUUUGAUCCAGCAUCCCACGUGCCUGUGCACUCUUUGUUCCCCGCUGUUCGGCUUGGUGUUCUUGUCCUGUUUGCAGAUUUUGUGUCACACACUUGAUUAAGCAUCCCACGUUCCCCUAAUGUGCGCCCUUGGCCUUGAUGAUAGGUAGCGUCGUGUUCUCGGGCGCGUCCCGUGGGUAAAAUUCAAGUAUGCGUCGAUUGUCCGAGCUCUUGCUCGCCAUUGGUGGUGCUUGAGCGUGCGGUCUUGGUGUCACCCAGCAAGGGAACACGGGAUGUGGGAUCAAGACAGCACAUAUAGCAACCCGUCACCAGGCAACGGACGCCCGUCCGGACUUUCAGGGAGCAGAGGUGGACACAAAGGUGGAUGUUGAGCUCCAUAGCCGUCUCGACAGUGUGCUCAUCAGUAAGAGCAACACGAGCAAGAAGAUCCUGGAUAUACUCCUCUUAGGAAAUGAAGAAGCCAUUAGAGGUAGAAACCUCAGUCUCAAGGAAGUCGCGACUUCUUUAGUAAACAUGGAGCAAUUUGGAUUUAGUUAGGCGAUUGUGAUCUUGAACAAAUUUCAUGGUGGAUUACAAGAUUUUUCAAUGGAUUUAGUUGACCGUGAUCUUGAGGAGAUAGUCAAGGAUGUUCGGUGUAUUAAUUAAUCUUGAACAAUAUGGAUUUAGUUAGAUGAUUGUGAUAUUGAACCAAAUUUCUCUGUGAUUUAUGAGAUUUUAGUUGGAUUUAGUUAGGUGAUUGUGUCUUGAGAUGAUAAUCAAAGAUGUUUUGUGGAUCAUGAUAUUUUAGGUCUACUAGAUGAGCAUGGUGAUUAUUAUAUUGGUGGAUAAAUAGAAUUUAUAUUAAUUUGGAACAAUUUGAAUUUGGUAGGUGAUUGUGAUCUUUUAACCUUAUUUUACGAUGGAUUAUAAGGUUCUGGUUGCAUUUAGUUAGGUGAUUGUGAUUUUGAGGAGGUAGUAAAAGAUGUUUGGUGAAUUAUCCAAAUUUAGGUCUACUAGGCGAGCAUGUUGAUUAUAUUGGUGGAUAAAUGGAUCUUUAAUAAAUUUUAAACAAUUUGGAUUUAGUUCGGCGAUUAUGACCUUAAACCAAAUUUUAUGGUGGAUUAUGAGAUUUUUUUAUGGAUUAGUUAGUUGAUUCUGAUCUUGAGAAGAUAUUCAAAGAUGUUUGGAUUAAUUAAUCUUGAACAAUUUGGAUUUAGUUAGGUGAUUGUGAUACUGAACCGAAUUUUACGCUGGAUUAUGAGAUUUUAGGUGGAUUUAGUUAGGUGAUUGUGUCUUGAGAAUAUAGUCAAAGAUGUUUGUUGGACUAUGAGAUUUUAGGUUUAGUAGAUGAGAAUGGUGAUUAUUAUAUUGGUGGAUAAACCGUUCUUUAAUUUACUUUGAAACAAUUUUGAUUUAGUUAGGUGAUUGUUAUUUUUGAGCAAAUUCACGGUGGAUUUUGAGGUUUUGUUGGAUUUAGUUAGGUGAUUGUGAUCUUGACGAGUUAGUCAAAGAUGUUUGGUGAAUUAUGUUAAUUUAGGUCUAGUAAGUGAGCAUGGUGGUUAUUAUAUUGGUGGAUAAAUGGGCCUUUAGUAAACAUGGAGCAAUUUGGGUGUGGUUAGGCUAUUGUGAUCUUGAACAAAUUUCAAAGUGGAUUGCGAGAUUUUCAAUAGAUUUAGUUAGUAGAUUGUGAUCUUGGGAGAUGUCAAAGAUGUUUGGUGGAUUAAUUAAUCUUAAACAAUUUGGAUUUAGUUAGAUGACUGCGAUAUUGAACCAAAUUGCUCUGUGAUUUAUGAGGUGAUUGUGUCUUGAGAUGAUAAUGAAAGAUGUUUGGUGGAUUAUGAGAUUUUAGGUCUAAUAGAUGAGCAUGGUGAUUAUUAUAUUGGCGGAUAAAUGAAUCUUUAAUAAAUUUGGAACAAUUUUGAUUUAGUUAGCCGACUGUGAUCUUUAACCAAAUUUUAUGGUGGAUUAUGAGAUUUAGUUUGGCCAUGCUCUGCCUUUUCCUCGAGGAGCAUGUGCAGUGCGGUGGUGCGGCGGCUCGUGCGGCGGGCGGUGGCCUCAGAAGAUGGGCGCCGACACCUGCAGCUUGUGCACAAUGGUCCGUAACCCUCUCCUUCCUGGCACAGGAGGAGCAGGAGCAAGGAUGCCGAGGCGGUUCAGGUGAAUGGUGCUUUAGCUUCAAUGACCAAUUUUAUUGCUAAAUAUUUUUCCCAUUGAAAGUGUCGAAGAACAUACAACUUGUCGUGAGGAAGAGUAGGAAGAUCAGGCAGAGAGGGUUUCACAUACCUCUUCUACACUGACAAGUCUUUGCUUUCCAGGAUUACCAUGGGAGCUUUGGAUGGUGGUCUUGGUAUUUCGCACAGUGACAAGAGAUUUGUUCGCUUCAAGAAGGAUAAGAAGCAGCUGGGCGCUGAGAUUCACCGCAAAUACAUCUAUGAAGGUCAUGUUGCUGACUACAUGAAGUCAAUAGCUGAUGAGCAACCUAAGAAGUACCAAUCUCACUUCAGUGAGUACAUCAAGAAGAAUAUUGCGGCCGAUGACAUGGAAGCACUGUACAAGAAGUGCAUGAUGAACUACACGGUAAAGUUCAGCUGAAGUUCCUCUGUUUUCUUCUACCAGGAGUUCUGACGAUUUGUACACUUGGCUGCAAAUUUAUGCCGUUUGCAUCACCAUACGGAUAGUGGUUUGUUCUUCUGUCGUUAUUCAUGGUUCUCAUCAUAGCCAUACUGAAUGAUGCAGGUGGCAUCUCUGAAUUUAUCAUAUGAAUUAUGACUUUAUGAGCUUGCUUGGCUACUGACCUGCUGUGUGGGAAGGGCAUCCUUUUACCAGAGCUAUGGAUUUUAAUAUGCUCCGUUUCCUUCAGGUCUUUUAUCACUCCAUCCUUGAUUUAUCUAAGUCCAUUGGGGUUGCUCAUGAAUUAAAGAAUUUAGGCUUACAGUAGGAUGAACUUCCUUGAGAAUCAAUAAUAGAAAAGUUUUGGUUAAGAGCAAUUUCCAACGGGUCGUCAAAUUUGUUUUUCUGAUGUUUGGGUCUUGGCAUGUAUGCUUUGCUUGCCUAUAUGCUCUGUUUGAAACCUUUUAUUCUGCUUUUGUCUUGGUCUGAAUCAUGGAUAAAUUGCCUCCCUUUUUACUUGCUUGGGCUUGGGAUUGGGCUUGGAAGAGCUUUAUCCUGUACUUAGUUACUUGGGUUGUAUGACACCUAUGGUUACCUCAUUGUGCUUCCAGUUCAUUUGCCUUUGUUGGUGGCUGGGGGCAAAUAUUUAGUUUGAAUUAUAGUUGAUUGUCUUUGGAUGUUGCUAAUUUUGUAUGAGCUGCAGGUGACAUGUUCUUUCUAUUUUUUAUAGAAAAUAUUUUCUUUCUACUACCUCCAAUCCAAAAUAAGUGUCGCAGUUUUGAGCCCGGGUUUGUUCAAAACUGCCACACUUAUUUUGGAUCGGAGGGAGUAAUAUUUAGUUUUCUUCCAGUAUUAAUGAUGUUUUCACUCUUUUGUUAGAUUAACAAUUUGCAUUGACCUUUUAUUGCACCUUUGAUUGUAAUCAACAUCAAAUGGUUGUCUGGCUAUGCUUUGCAUUAUUAUAGAUCGUAUAUGCUGCUGCUACUUAAUUAUACUUCUAUGCGAUCAUACAAUUGUAUUCAUUUUAAUGUUCACCGGUGAUGGAAAAGCGCCGACUGAUAUGAAGCUAAGAGGAAGAAAAGUAAGAGAAAAUUUACUUCACUGGUUGAUAGGAAUCCAUCUCACGUUUUCUCGGGUUGUGCCUUUCUCAAAGUAAAAAAGCAAAAGUCAGAGAGAGAAAUUACUGUACUAGUUAAGACAACUAAUUUGCAUACAAUGGCAGCAAUGCACAAUCAGUGUCAGUUUUAGCGUGUACUUAUUUCAGAGAUGAUUGGAGUAACCGUUGGCCGGUUCAGCAGCCACCAUUUAAUCGAAUCACAAUUCAUAGACUAGUAGGCAAAGGUAUUGGAGGGCUACUUUCAGAUCAAUUCAUGACUAUACGUAUGGUAUGAGCUAUUCCUAUCGCCGCGAACUUGUUGAACACGGCAAUACUGGUGAACAAAAGCACAAGUGUGCGUGCAGUGCGAGCUAAGAAAGCUGGUUCAUCAUUCAGCAUUAUGCAUGGUAUUCAGUCAUGAUUGUCAAGUGUCAAGUUCAGUUUUAAAAGCUGAACCCUCAAGUGUUAAGUUUAGGUAACAGGGGCUGUGGAGUAACUGUAGCUGGAUCAAAUCCUCAAUGUCAAGUUCAGAAUAUGAUACUCAAUUAUCAUGACAAAAUUUACUACUUUGGAAUGUGUGGGUGCACUGGUUUUCGACUACUUGAUCUAAUCAUCUUGAAUUGACAGAGGUUUUCUGACUAUACCCGAAAGUCGCAACCAUGGCCUUACAUUGCUACACACCUCUGCUGAAGCCCCAACUGGCCCAAGUCUCGGUCAACCCUUCCAUUAACACGAUACAGAUUCCAGAGUCAGUGCUCCGUCCCUCUGCUAAAGCCCUAACUGGCCCAUGUCUCGGCCAGCCCUUCUCUAAAUCGAUGCAGAUUGCAGGUUUGCCUCGCAUCAAUAUGCUCCUUGCAUAAGCUAGUAAUCUCUGGCCAUGCUUCAUUUUUUAUCCUACUUGCAUCAUGCCUGAUGACUUUUUUUGUGCCACCAAUUUUAGUGUAUGUUCGAGGAGUAGCAGAUUUUACGGAUCUUUUUUUGUGUCGUUGCUUCAUCAAAUGGAAAUUUAAGUAACGGGAGAUUCGUCAAAUGGAAAUUUAAACCAGUUUAUGACUUGGUUAUGGAACUGCACUUGCAAUGGUAGCAGGAACGACCUUGCUUGGGCGACCUUCUCUGUUAUGAUAUUGUUGUCUAAGUUAAAAAACCUGAAUCUGCUCCAUGGUUUUGUUAUGUUGGAUGUGCCCCAAGAAGCUUCUUUCUUUUGAUUUUUGUUGUCAAUAUAUUCUGUGCAUGCUCCUCGUACUCAUUAUGAAGUUUGGCAAAUAUCAAUUCUCUGGAUGUUCUUCAUAACUAUGGCGAAUCACAUGAAGUUCAAAUGUUAGCAUAGCUAAUAAGUUGUAUUUUCGUCGAUGACACAAUGCACAGGUCAAGUGUUAGUUUUCUGAAACUAUUGCUGUGAACUGAUGCAAACUUCCUCACUUUUAUUUGUAGUUUGGCCAACAUUGGUACCUGGUGUCGAUGUGGAGGAAAAGACCUUAGCAGGACUACUGACUGUCGCCUUGCAACUCAUUUUCUUCAGAAGUAUCUCGGCCUCAGACAUGAAAACUUGAGAAUUCAGAUUUUUUGUAGCGCAGAACCCAUUAGCUCCUAUCUUUGUGCUAGCUAAACUUGAGCUUAAGUUGUAGUGGUGUAGUCAAAAUUAUUUGUGUACUGAAUUUUUAUUCUUUUAUGUGCCCGUAGUGAGUUUUGUAGUUUUAUUUGAUAAUUAUUUGUGCAAAUUUUAGCUGUGAUCUGAUGUGUUAUACCAAA